ACCGAAUAGCUCGCCCGCUUCUACAAAAUCAACAACCACCACUUAAUAACCCCAAAUUCACACAUCAUAACUAAAUAAACCAUUUUUCCCCUUUAGUAUGGGAGACAGAAAAAGAACACCACGGCGCAAUAGAGAACAAGUACCGUAAGGGAAUGCUGAAAGAGAAAUGAAAUAAUUCAGUAAAGACUAAAAAAGCAGAGAUUUACCCUCGUACCUUUUGCAUCAUGAUUUAGCCAGUGUAAUCCAAGCAAAAAGCAAUUUAGUUUGACUACCCGAAACUAGGUGAGCUACUCCAAGACAGCCUGCUAAUAGGGCCAAACCCGUCUCUGUGGCAAAAGAGUGGGGAGAGCUUUGAGUAGAGGUGAUAAACCUACCGAACCUAGUUAUAGCUGGUUGCCUGGGAAACGAACAGAAGUUCAACCUCCCGGCUUCUUUAUUCCAUCUAAUAUAUUUAAUCCAUCAAGAUACCAUAAGAAACCAAGAGAGCUAUUCAAAGGAGGUACAGCCCCUUUGAACUAAGACACAACUUUUCCAGCAGGGUAAAGAUCAUAAUUAACUUAAGGUAAACUGUCCCCGUAGGCCUGAAAGCAGCCACCCCUACAGAAAGCGUUAAAGCUCAAACAACACAUGCACCCUUUAAUACCGACUAUUUAAUCUUAUCCCCCUAAAACCUACCAGGCCUCCCCAUGCAUCCCCAUCGGGGCGACCCUGCUAAUAUGAGUAAUAAGAGAGUACACCUCUCUCCUUGCAUGUGUGUAAAUCGGAACGGACACCCCACCGAAAAUUAACGGCCCCAAAUAAAGAGGGAACUGAAUAUUAAAUUAAACAACAAGAAAAACACCCAACUGAACUGACCGUUGAACCAACACAGGAGUGCACUUAAGGAAAGACUAAAAGAAAGAGAAGGAACUCGGCAAACAUACACACCCAGCCUCGCCUGUUUACCAAAAACACCGCCUCUUGUGUUAUAACAAAUAAGAGGUCUCGCCUGCCCUGUGACUAUAAGUUUAACGGCCGCGGUAUCUUAACCGUGCGAAGGUAGCGCAAUCACUUGUCUUUUAAAUGAAGACCUGUAUGAAUGGCACAACGAGGGCUUAACUGUCUCCUCUUUCAAGUCAAUGAAAUUGAUCUCCCCGUGCAGAAGCGGGGAUAAAAACAUAAGACGAGAAGACCCUAUGAAGCUUCUAGACACAAAGCAGCACUACGUUAUACUAGCCACAAGGCCGAAUCCGCUAAGCCCUGCUCUAAGUCUUUGGUUGGGGCGACCUUGGGGUAAUAAUUAACCCCCAUGUGGAAUGGGAUUACUUUCCCCUCCUACAACUGAGAGUUACAACUCAAAUUAACAGAAUAUCUGACCAUUAAUGAUCCGGCAGUGCCGAUCAACGAACCAAGUUACUCUAGGGAUAACAGCGCAAUCCCCUUCUAGAGUCCCUAUCGACAAGGGGGUUUACGACCUCGAUGUUGGAUCAGGACAUCCUAAUGGUGCAGCCGCUAUUAAGGGUUCGUUUGUUCAACGAUUAAAGUCCUACGUGAUCUGAGUUCAGACCGGAGCAAUCCAGGUCGGUUUCUAUCUAUGACAUGUCUUUUUCUAGUACGAAAGGACCGAAGAAGAGAGGCCCAUGUUUCAGAUAUGCCUUCCCCCCUUUUAGUGAAAACAACUAAAUAUAAAUAAGGGGCUUACACAACCCUCCAAAGAAAAUGGACU
rnacentral:rRNA from 1 species